UACGAAGGGGGCUAGCGUUGUUCGGAAUCACUGGGCGUAAAGCGCACGUAGGCGGAUCUUUAAGUCAGGGGUGAAAUCCCGAGGCUCAACCUCGGAACUGCCUUUGAUACUGGGGAUCUCGAGUCCGGGAGAGGUGAGUGGAACUGCGAGUGUAGAGGUGAAAUUCGUAGAUAUUCGCAAGAACACCAGUGGCGAAGGCGGCUCACUGGCCCGGAACUGACGCUGAGGUGCGAAAGCGUGGGGAGCAAACAG
rnacentral:rRNA from 1 species